CCUUGUCUAUUUUUAUACUUUCAUGGAAUUGAAAAUGUAACAAUUGUAUUGAAGCAUGAAAAAGUUCCACAUUCUCUUUCCCCACUUAAAGUAGCACACAUCUUCUUUGCUUAUCUGUAGAAAUUGCUCAGAAGGAGAUAUUGAAGAAAGGGGUGGUUGUUUUUUUUAAGUCCUUAAAGUGAAUUAUUUAGUGAAUUUAAUUUUGUGAAUGUCUCAAUGGCCCAACAGAAUGGUUCUGAAUGGGACAAUCUGUCUGUUAUAGUUAUACUAGCUGUGCCCAGCCACGCGUUGCUGUGGCUGAGUCUGGUGGUGUUGGUCAGUCUACAUUAGGUUGUAUUUAUGCUGUGACCUCCACCUUUCUUUAUACUCACAUUAGUACAGUAGAGUCUCACUUAUCCAAGCUAAACAGGCCAGCAGAAGGUUGGAUAAGCGAAUAUCUUGGAUAAUAAGGAGGGAUUAAGGAAAAGCCUAUUAAACAUCAAAUUAGGUUAUGGUUUUACAAAUUAAACACCAAAACAUCAUGUUAGACAACAAAUUUGACAGAAAAAGUAGUUCAAUAUGCAGGAAUGUUAUGUUGUAAUUACUGUAUUUACAAAUUUAGCAUCAAAAUAUCACGAUAUAUUGAAAACACUGACUACAAAAAUGGCUUGGAUAAUGCAGAAGCUUGGAUAAGCGAGGCUUGGAUAAGGGAGACUCUACUGUAGUAGUAUUUGAAGUCUGUUACCUUCUUCAGUUUUUGUGUUGAUUGAUAAUUGCUUGAGAUCCCUGUUGUCUUUGGUUUGUUGUUAAUUGUAAUGUCUGAUUCUGCUGAGUGCGGUUUAUAUUUUUAUUGUGGUACAAUAUUCUUUUUUUUGUUUUGCCUGUGUAGGUGUUUAUUAUUAUUGUUGUUGUUGUGGUCAUGAAGGUUGGAUAAGUUAAAUGCUACUGUAUUGUUUUUUGGAGGCCCACUGUAGCACUGACUGGCCUCUCAGCCUCAGUGCCUGGCUGUUUCUUGCCUGUGAUGGUGUUGAUUCUUAUUGUUGUUGUUGUUGUUGUCAUUGUUAUUAUUGUAAUUGUUUUUUGGAGGCCAAGUGUGAAUGUAGGGAUUGGGGAGGUGGAUGAGUUGUGUUGUCAAAUUGUGUAUUUUUUAUAGUCACAAUGCGUUGCUGUGAGUUUUGUGGGUCCGGAUUGUGGUUUUGUGGUGUGGUUGUGUUGUUACAACUGAGAGGCAAGGCUUUUGUGUUUUGUUGCCAAGUUUUGUAUUUCUGGGGCGUUUAGUUGUGUGCCAAGUUUUGUAUUUCUGGGGCGUUUAGUUGUGUUGUUAUAGUCACAAUGCACUGUUGUGAGUUUUGUGGGUCCGGAUUGUGGUUUUGUGGUGUGGUUGUGUUGUUACAAUCGGGAGGGAAUGCUUUUGUGUUGUGUUGCCAAGUUUCGUAUUUCUCGGGUGUUUAGUUGUGUUGUUAUAGUCAUGAUGCGUUGUUGUGAGUCUUGUGGGUCGAGUGUGGUUUUGUGGUGUGGUUGUGUUGUUACAACUGGGAGGCAAGGCUUUUGCAUUGUUUUGCCAAGUUUUGUAUUUCUGGGGCGUUUAGUUGUGUUGUUAUAGUCAUGAUGCGUUGUUGUGAGUUUUGUGGGUCCGGAUUGUGGUUUUGCGUUGUGUUGUCAAAUUUUGUAUUUCUGGGGCGUUUAGUUGU